rnacentral:rRNA from 1 species
GUAGGUCACAAGCGUUGUCCGGAAUUACUGGGUGUAAAGGGAGCGCAGGCGGGAAGACAAGUUGGAAGUGAAAUCUAUGGGCUCAACCCAUAAACUGCUUUCAAAACUGUUUUUCUUGAGUAGUGCAGAGGUAGGCGGAAUUCCCGGUGUAGCGGUGGAAUGCGUAGAUAUCGGGAGGAACACCAGUGGCGAAGGCGGCCUACUGGGCACCAACUGACGCUGAGGCUCGAAAGUGUGGGUAGCAAACAGGAUUAGAUACCCUGGUAGUCCACACCGUAAACGAUGAUUACUAGGUGUUGGAGGAUUGACCCCUUCAGUGCCGCAGUUAACACAAUAUGUAAUCCACCUGGGGAGUACGACCGCAAGGUUG